CGUGGUGGCUUGUGCCUGUAGUCCCAGCUACUCAGGAGGCUGAGGAAGGAGGAUUGCUUGAGCCCAGGAGUCCAAGGUUCCAAUGAGCUUUGAUUGUGCCACGGCACACACUAGCCUGGGCAACAGAGCAAGACCCUG